UGAAGAAAAUAUAAUCUGAUCAAACACUAUUCAGCUUUAAAUAUUGUUCAGCUUUAAAGUUACUGUGCAACUGUGUAAUAAAAAUAUGUGCUCACGACUUUGGCCUUGAGAGCGAUAAGAAGCGAUCGCCUCAUUCUGCAGGUGCAAGAUAUCUGCAAGCGAAGACACUAGAACACCCAAGGCCGCUUUCCUUUUAUGGAGUUGUUUUUCUGCUAAUGCAGCACUGUCCUCACAACCUCCUCCUGUAAGUUUUAGAGAAUAUAUACCCAUCCUCACAGCAAAUAUUGGGAAUCUCUUGAUGUGAGCUGUUUUUGAGAGGUUGUCUCUGUCUCAAUAAAAGUUCACUGAUUCCCCCAUCUGCUGCAGGUGUCCGGUUGUCUUCAUUCUCCGCCAGCCUGGAUCCGCUCCAGGGCAACUGGAACGGAGGGAGGACAUCGGCAGUGGUCUGAGUGAACGGAGUUUGGACAAAAGCUGUGUGCACACAAAAACAAGGUAAGCAGACCUUUUAUUUCUGCUAUAUUGAACAUUAUAAAAAUACUUAGUGUCCAAACUCCUAGUAAUUCAUAACCAAAAUUGUCUGGCUUACUUAAGGCUUGUUGAGAAUCAGACAAGUGAAUAAGAGAUAAGUGAAUAAGAAAUAAGUGAAUAAGUGAAUAAAGAUAAGAGUGAACUGAGGUCUGACCACGGUUGCAGCCGACGGGUUUGCUCUCCGGUGUCGGAUACAUACCUCAGCAGGUCUGGGACCUUGAAAGGGUUUAUUAGUAACGCCUUUCUAAACAAAUUAAAAGGUUAAAGGCCUUGAGAAUAUUUUUUAGUAAUAUUCUCUAAACUACAGAAGGGUUAGGAAGGCCCAGAGGACUUUAUUAGAAAAGAUCCUCUAAAACUUAAAAAAGAGAAGUACUGGUUGGAGUCCAUAGGAGGGGUCCCUUUGAUCAAUAGGAGAAAACGGAUCUCUUCUUAAAACCCCGAUGAUUUUAGUGUUUUAAAUGUUUUGAUGUUCUGUUUGAUAUUGGACACACAUAAAUACACGCUGAAUGCUUGCUGUGGAACACUGGGCAGGACAGUUUGGUUCUCCGUUGUUCACAGAUUACACAAUUAAAGGAACUAGGUUCCUCUUUUGGUUAAAAUAAUACACCACACAUAGAAUUUUUUUUUUUUUUUUUACACAUUUAUUACAUACAUAAGGAGGGUAAUGAGUGACUGCAGGUAAUGUAUGAAGUGUGAAUGAGACGUGUGAACAAGGUGACAACCAACUAGCACCCCUAUCAGGAAGCUCUAGGCAAGGUUACCCGCCAGACUCCGGUUUGGUAGAAGCUUGGUAACACCUGAAGGGAUAUUUCAGUGCUGACUCACCUUUAAAGCAGCGCCCCAGCUGAUUAGUGCCUAACAGAGGCAGAAACCCAGCUGGCCCAAAUUCUCCUUUAAAAUCAAUAAAAGAACACUCCUCCAUUGACAGUAAAAUGGAUGGAGAAUUAGAUCGAGAAACUAAUGAUGAUGGUUGGGGUCCCGGUGUUAUUCUUAGCACAUUGGGAGAACAAUUAACAUGUGUUGAGACAGUCAUCAACUCCACACACCAGCCUAAAGAAGCAAAAAAGCAGAAAGAGUCAUUGAGGAAAACAGCUGAAAGAUGCUUUUAAAUUAGUCAAAAAGUUAGGGGUAACCUCUUCUGGCAUAUGUCUAUGCGGGCCCGUGUGUAAAUAGAACAUAAAUUACCGGUGUGUGUAAAUAAAGUGUAAAAUAGUGGUAUAAACUGUCUGUUGAAUUUCUCCUGAGUGUUGAAAAAAGGAAAAACUCUUUUCUGCUCUCUCUGAGAGAGGGGCUGUGUGUGUGAGACAGGAAGUGUGCAUGCCCAUAGAAGGAAAGAGAUGAGGUAAACUCUGUGCAGAUAGACCGAAGUAAAAAAAAAAAAAAAAAAAAAAGGAAAAGGGUCUCUCUCUGUCUCUGUGAGAGAAAAAAGGUGGGGGCCGAGUGAGCCCGCGGGGCCGAGCGGGUCCGCGGGAGCGAGCGUGUAUGCUGUAUGAGGAAGAAGGGAGUGAGAGGGAGCGAGUGAAAAGAGUAAUCGAGUAUUUGGUGAUUUUUUUUAUUAUUUCAGAGGCACUGGUGUCUUCAUACAGGUGUUUUUUCUUAACCUGGAAGCCUGAGUACGGCAGCAGAAGACAGGCCAAGCUUUGGCUAAAAUUCACGGCUGGACACCAGAGUUGUCCUCACCCCUCCCGGUAAAACAAAAAAGAGAGAAUGUAGUUUGAGGCGGGUUUUUCUUGCUGAACCGCUCUGGGUGCUGUGUCCCUGAAUCUCACCGGUGUUAACCUCUGGCGGAAGACAUGGAGAAAAGGAAAAGAUGUUCCUGGUAAAUCACUGAAACAAAUAAAACCACACACAACCAGAGAAAGAUAUGAGAAGGGUGAGGAACAGACACAUGUGCGUGUUAGAGACAUGCCUCGUUUGAGAAAAAGUUAAAGUAACCCAUAUACAGACGCACCCAUACAUGCAAUGAAGAAACAGCUUACAUACAUGUGCACGUACAUGCAAGGUUAAAGUAGCGACACUUAACAUACACCUGUUUUUAAAUGAUAUAGUUCAUACAUUACUGACAAUUAAACGCUUUGGGUUGCAGGACAACAACGUAACGUCAAAAGACAAAGACACUGGUCUGAGGAUUAAGUGAGGACACGACAAAUUUAGUGGUUAAAAGGGUCGACUUGGGACAUGUUUUUGUUGAUUGUUUAAGACAAAUGACUACUGAAUGAUAGGAAAUUCCUUUUUAGGUUUCUAAACAGGAUCUUAAGAAUUUUAACACGUACCUGUGUUGUCCUGUCAACUUGAGGGGUUAUGAGUUGAUUAUAUGGAAAAAAAAAAAAAAAAAAAAAAAAAAAAAAAAAGGGGGGGACGAGAUCUCGUUGUUUCUCCCCUCUCGGGAUAACACAGCCAACACAGCACAGCCAACACAACAUCAUUUUCCUGUUCGCCUGUUUUGUUUUGUUUUUGUUUUUUCUGAGAGCCGAAGCUGACCUGGACUCCUACCCUCCCCUCUACCAUCGUUGCCCUCUCCGCGACCAUCUUUGACCCUUUGACCCCUGAAGGCCACAGCAGCUGGACUCACAACAACAACUUGAGGAUGUCAACAGUGCUGCAAAAGAGUGAUCUCAUGCAGCAGAGACGGAGAGCACUAAACCUAAAGCCCGUUUCACUACACGGGGGAAAUUCCCAGGCUGCGUCAGCUGACAGAGCUGUGACGAGACGCGCAUUAAGCCCGGAGGAAAAGGGACGGUGAGCAGAAGGAUGCUGACCUCUGAGAAGAGCCGAACAGCAGAGCUGCAGAAGGCCGUGGAGCAAAGUAAGGACAACAUAAACAGACCCAAAGAGGAGGGGAGGACCCUAGGCCAUGCGUCAGGCCGCUGGUUUACCUAAACUACAGAACAGAAAGGUGAUGAACACAAACAUAUACCAACACACGAACACACACUUCUGCAUGCGCCUACUUAGAAUGAAGGGAAACACACACAUGAACACUUAUGCACUUGUUGAGGGAGUAAAAACUGAUACAUACCCAUGCACUAAAAUCAAAAUGUUGAUUUAAUUUACUAAGAAGUGACACACAAUGCUCUAGCUGCUGCAAUGAAGAAUGCUUUACUGACAAAGGCUCAAUGCUGCACACAACAAAGUCAAAUACAGAAUUUGCUAUAAUAAUAAGCCCAGAGGGCAUUUGUGUGGUCUGGGGAGCAGAGUCCGGAGCGGUUUGGUUAUGAAAAUGAUGCCCGUGCGAGAUAUCUGGGGCUUAAGGCCUCGACUUAAUUGUUUACUCUACACUAAAAAGAAAAGAAAACACUCUGAGCAGUGGCGCAGAGUGAAAACGAGGAAUUAACAGUGUGAGUUUUAUUUCAGAGCGCCACGUCAUUGUGAUGGAGAUUUAAUAAAGGAGGAACACACGGACAAAGAAGAAGAGAAGGGGGGGCAGCUCUUGAACGCGAUUGCCUGAGGCAUUAAAGUUCUGUACUAAAUUCUGGUUUCCAGUGUGAGAAAAGUCACGCAGUGCCAGUAGUAGAGCUAGGUUGAGUGAUGAUUCUAAAUUACUGUAAGUAAAUCAUCGUACACCGUUCAAGUUUCAUGAAAACGGGGAUCUAGACUUUGUUGAACCCUAGGCAAUUUGAACAGGUAAAAGUCGAGUGACCAAGUAGCAGUUGAAUAAAAGUCAUUGAAUAAGUGUUGAAAUAAACUGGCAGAAUUAAGAGAAUUAAAACAUUUCAAGAGCUCAACUUACUUAAUGGUUCAAUUUUGUUUCACGAACGCAAAACAUAUAGGUUUAUGAAUAUGAAAAGGUUGAGGUGGUGUUGAUUUGACUCUGUGUAGGUUUAGGUUGGUAUUUUUAUUGAUGGGAAGAAUAUUCAGUGACAAGUCCUAAGACCCGGGCGUCUGCAUUUUGUUUUUGUUAUUUUUCAUUUUAUUUUGUUUUAUAUUUACUGAUUUUUGUUGGUGAAUCUUUUCUUUAAGCAGAUCUGCACAUCGGAAAUUACAAGCAUUACACGUCGGCGAGAAAAUUGUUGUAAGUGAGUUUCUCCGCAUUGAAAUGGGUUCUGGAGGAAACACUUGUGGGGACAAUUAGAAACGAGAGUCCCUGUUUAAAAAAGGAUUCGGCGAGGUAAUCCAAACUCAAGUUCUUGUUUCUUUUUGAGAUGACGUCAUUUUGCUGAGUGUGGAAACUAGAUGCGACGACAGGUUUCACUAUCAGCAAAGAACGGAUGAAUGGAUGAAAGACUGGGAAUAAAAACAAACGGACUGACUGGUAAGAGAUGACAAGACUUGACCAUGACUCAAGGUUAACCACCUCCACCUAGAUAGGAUAAAAGGGUGGAUGAAUUUAUGUGGGUUUCUUUUACAGGAGUAGAAGGAUGACAAAAUAUUCGAGGAUGAGUGAACCUGUAAAUGCCAUUUUUGUGUCUUGUGUUGCUUACAGAGGUAACUGCGCAGCGUUACCAUUUACAUUUUCUUCCCUACAGGGUUACAGUUUUAAUGUUUUUCUAUUACAGGAUUUCUGGGCGGAUGUGUGAAGAAACGGUGUUUAUGGGUUAGGAGUUGGGGAUGCUAUUACACUGUAUUCUGGUGAGAGUGUUGGGGGAGACACACCCUGUCUUGAAAACUGUGAUUCUUUUACAGGAAAUGUUUUAUAGCACCUAUGGAAUGAGGAUGCCUGACUACGGUCAAUGUGCUGCUAAUGUUUGCUUUGCUUUGGUGAGAGGGGUGCAGUAGAAAACAGACAAGUGACAUGAAAACAAGUAAUAAUAACAAAUAACAAAUUUGGGGACAGUUUGACCUAGAGCCCACUAACUGGCCAUUAGGGGCUCUCUCUCUCUCUCUCUCUCUCUCUCUCUCUCUCUCUCUCUCUCUCUCUCUCUCUCUCUCUCUCUCUCUCUCUCUCUCUCUCAGGUUGUUGCUCUUUAACUCCUAGAACACGCCCUUGGCGAGGUGGGGGGAACUGGACCACCUUUCUGUGCCCCAUCAUCCUCUAUUAGACGACAUCCAAGCUAAGUAAACAUGUCUUGGCCCUUUCCCCCUGAAAUGACAGGCAGGCAAAGAUGUUGCGUCUUUGUUUGCUUCCUGGCCCUGGGUCUCAUUCCCAUUGGCAUAAUCCUGAUCUGUGAAGGGCCCCCGACACUUCUGACACCUUCAAGUUCAAAAGCUUCGCCCCCUUCUGACAGUCCCAAUCUGACAAAUGUAGCCCCUAGGGUCUUGCCCACCACUUCCUCUCCAGUUUUGCCCACGCCCGAUCCAUUUAGAAAGAAACGAGACACGGUUACCUCCUCGCCAACGGAUGAUGAAAACUCUGAUCGUGAGGGUGACGAACAUUAUCGUCUUUCUCUUGUUUAAAUUCUUCUAGAAUGGUUGUUUCUCUGUGGUGUUUUGUAUUAGGCUUGUUAUUAAUUGUUUCCCUCACCCACUUCCUCUUGAAGGAUAUAUCUGGUUGAACUGUGUCUGGUCGGGUUGUGAGGGUUAAGCGAUGUUCUCAGGGUCUCCGGACUUAAGCCUGAGCGAAUGUGUACUCCCACCAAUGGAUAUGAAUUGUUUUUUUUUUCCACACCCCUUCCUCACGUUUUACCAUAUUCACUUUUGAAUGUCCUUAGCAGUUACCGUUCUGGGUUUAUUUUACGGUUGAUUUAUUCUUUCACAUUUUCACGUUUAUAUCUCUCAUUAUUAUAGUAGACUCUGUACUCUCCACAUUUUUAUCAUUACUUAUGCUUUUUGGUUGCUGAGUUACAGGAACUGUUAAUUUUGUGUCACUACCCUGGUUGCACUAACUCGUUGUAUCCGUGUGUGCAGGACAGCUGUUACUGCUUUCAUCGGGAACCGAGACUGCUUGCAGCCGACCCCUGGGCAGGGUGGUGCCUGGACUCUUUUCUCCUCAUCUGCAAUGACAGAUAAAGACAAAUGAUAAGACCCGAGGAGUUUUUCGAGCCAGGCUUCGACACGUCUCUGUGUUCCUUUGAAUGUUACUUAUGUUUGUGUGUUGACCCAUUUAAGAUGGGUCAAAAGGGGGAUUUGAAGAAAAUAUAAUCUGAUCAAACACUAUUCAGCUUUAAAUAUUGUUCAGCUUUAAAGUUACUGUGCAACUGUGUAAUAAAAAUAUGUGCUCACGACUUUGGCCUUGAGAGCGAUAAGAAGCGAUCGCCUCAUUCUGCAGGUGCAAGAUAUCUGCAAGCGAAGACACUAGAACACCCAAGGCCGCUUUCCUUUUAUGGAGUUGUUUUUCUGCUAAUGCAGCACUGUCCUCACAACCUCCUCCUGUAAGUUUUAGAGAAUAUAUACCCAUCCUCACAGCAAAUAUUGGGAAUCUCUUGAUGUGAGCUGUUUUUGAGAGGUUGUCUCUGUCUCAAUAAAAGUUCACUGAUUCCCCCAUCUGCUGCAGGUGUCCGGUUGUCUUCAUUCUCCGCCAG
ensembl:lncRNA